rnacentral:rRNA from 1 species
CCUACGGGAGGCAGCAGUGGGGAAUAUUGGGCAAUGGGCGCAAGCCUUACCCAGCAAUACCGCGUGAGUGAAGAAGGUCUUCGGAUUGUAAAGCUCUUUGAUCAGGGACGAACAGAUGACGGUACCUGAAGAACAAGCACCGGCUAACUACGUGCCAGCAGCCGCGGUAAAACGUAGGGGGCGAGCGUUGUCCGGAAUGACUGGGCGUAAAGGGUGCGUAGGCGGCAUAAUAAGUUAGAAGUGAAAUACCCAGGGCUUAACUCGGGUGCUGCUUCUAAGACUGUUGGGCUUGAGUGCGGGUGAGGUUAAUGGAAUUCCUGGUGUAGCGGUGGAAUGCGUAGAUAUUAGGCGGAACACCAGAGGCGAAGGCGAUUAACUGAACCGUAACUGACGCUGAGGCACGAAAGUGUGGGUAGCAAACAGGAUUAGAUACCCUUGUAGUC